GCCACGCCCGCUCAAGAAACUUUAAAUAGUAAUUGGACGGGGACCCGCACAAGCGGUGGAUGAUGUGGUUUAAUUCGAUGCAACGCGAAAAACCUUACCCACCUUUGACAUGUACGGAAGAUCGCAGAGACGCGAUUGUGCUCGAAAGAGAACCGUAACACAGGUGCUGCAUGGCUGUCGUCAGCUCGUGUCGUGAGAUGUUGGGUUAAGUCCCGCAACGAGCGCAACCCUUGCCAUUAGUUGCUACAUUCAGUUGGGCACUCUAAUGGGACUGCCGGUGACAAACCGGAGGAAGGUGGGGAUGACGUCAAGUCCUCAUGGCCCUUAUAGGUGGGGCUACACACGUCAUACAAUGGCUGGUACAAAGGGUUGCCAACCCGCGAGGGGGAGCUAAUCCCAUAAAGCCAGUCGUAGUCCGGAUCGUAGUCUGCAACUCGACUACGUGAAGUCGGAAUCGCUAGUAAUCGUGGAUCAGAAUGUCACGGUGAAUACGUUCCCGGGUCUU
rnacentral:rRNA from 1 species